CUUGUUUUCAGGGGAGUACAUGCCUGGAAUGUUAGCAAGCUAUUUGCUGGAAAAAAUGCCCACAACAGGCCUAAUGUUGAUCACAUUAAUGCGUUUGAGUGAGUAUGGAGUGCAAAUGAUUGAAAAUGCUUCCAGAUCCCCGUUGCAAGGGACAAAGCAGGCUCUGUUCUCUGAUCUGAUGGUCAUUUUUUUUUCCAGCGGAGGAUGUGGGGCAGGAAGAGGGAAGAGGGCCAAUCUCUGUCUAAUGGUUCCAAACAGGGCCCGGGCCCGGCCCUCUGGAUGCUGACGAGUGGGAAAUGAAACACAGAUGGGUCAGAUGGGUAAGGAGAGGGGGAUUACAGGUCAGGCCAAAGAGUUGGAAUAAAUUAAGUGCUUAUGAGGUACAGAAUGGCACAUUGUUUAAGUGAAUGGACAGGGAAAAAACAUUCCAGCAUUGUUCAUCCGCCGAGGGAGCCCAACGCUCCUCUUCCCAGACGAGCCCAGGCCACAGAGCGCCUCCUCCUCGCCAGGAUGUUUGUGACCCACAGACUGAAAACGCGGCCAGGCGGUGCCCGAAACAUUCUCCCAGCCUCCAAAGAGGCCAGUUUGGCUUUAUUACACGGGAGAUGUAAUUUAUUGGGAGAAAUGUUUGGGUUCGUGUGUCGGAUGGUGGAGAGUCAGAUUUGGAGUUCCCUGGGGAUCUCCGAGGAGAAGGAGAAUUCAGGCAAAGCUGUCCAUUCGGUUGGUAACGACACAAGCAGGAGAAUAGGACGGAAAUCCAAUUCUUCUGCUCCCCGGGGUGUGACUCUCAUACUGCAUCGCACAGCUUUCAUUUCGUGAAGAACUUGUGGAAGCAGAUGUUCACAAAGCAACUGACCAGGCCAGGUGUGUCCUUCAAGGCUACCUGCAUUCAACAGAGGCGACCACAGCCCAGACCCAUCCUUCUUGGGAGAGUUUCAAGAUGCUCCACAUAGUGGUGCCUAGCGCUCUGUGCACUCAGAGGCUAGAAGAAAAGAUACAGAGGUCCUCUUUCAAGGAGAGGCCCUGACGUUUCUAUUCUUACAAGGAUUCUUUGGUAAUAAAUACAGUGAAAACACCGUCA
rnacentral:lncRNA from 1 species